AAGACUUUAAGUUAAUAAAACUAAAAACCUUCAAAGUUUUAAUUGAGCAUUCUCAAGUCUUG
rnacentral:tRNA from 1 species